GGACGAACGCUGGCGGCGUGCCUAACACAUGCAAGUCGAGCGGAGCCAAUUGACUGAACCCUUCGGGGGGAAGACAAGGAAGCUUAGCGGCGGACGGGUGAGUAACGCGUGAGUAACCUGCCCAUAAGUGGGGGAUAACACAUUGAAAAGUGUGCUAAUACCGCAUAUUGAUAUAAAGGGACAUCCCUAAAUAUUGAAAGAUUUAUUGCUUAUGGAUGGACUCGCGUCUGAUUAGAUAGUUGGUGGGGUAACGGCCCACCAAGUCGACGAUCAGUAGCCGAACUGAGAGGUUGAUCGGCCACAUUGGGACUGAGACACGGCCCAGACUCCUACGGGAGGCAGCAGUGGGGGAUAUUGCGCAAUGGGGGAAACCCUGACGCAGCAACGCCGCGUGAAGGAAGACGGCCUUCGGGUUGUAAACUUCUGUCGCAAGGGAAGAAGACAGUGACGGUACCUUGUGAGAAAGCCACGGCUAACUACGUG
rnacentral:rRNA from 1 species